rnacentral:rRNA from 1 species
UACGGGGGGAGCAAGCGUUGUUCGGAUUUACUGGGCGUAAAGGGCGCGUAGGCGGUCAGCACAAGUCAGUUGUGAAAUCUCCGGGCUUAACUCGGAAAGGUCAACUGAUACUGUGCGACUAAAGUGCAGAAGGGGCAACUGGAAUUCUCGGUGUAGCGGUGAAAUGCGUAGAUAUCGAGAGGAACACCUGCGGCGAAGGCGGGUUGCUGGGCUGACACUGACGCUAAUGCGCGAAAGCCAGGGGAGCGAACGGG